rnacentral:rRNA from 1 species
AAGAAACCAACAGGGAUUGCCUUAGUAGCGGCGAGUGAAGCGGCAAAAGCUCAAAUUUGAAAUCUGGCACCUUCGGUGUCCGAGUUGUAAUUUGAAGAUUGUAACCUUGGGGUUGGCUCUUGUCUAUGUUUCUUGGAACAGGACGUCACAGAGGGUGAGAAUCCCGUGCGAUGAGAUGCCCAAUCCUAUGUAAGGUGCUUUCGAAGAGUCGAGUUGUUUGGGAAUGCAGCUCUAAGUGGGUGGUAAAUUCCAUCUAAAGCUAAAUAUUGGCGAGAGACCGAUAGCGAACAAGUACAGUGAUGGAAAGAUGAAAAGAACUUUGAAAAGAGAGUGAAAAAGUACGUGAAAUUGUUGAAAGGGAAGGGUUUGAGAUCAGACUCGAUAUUUUGUGAGCCUUGCCUUCGUGGCGGGGUGACCCGCAGCUUAUCGGGCCAGCAUCGGUUUGGGCGGUAGGAUAAUGGCGUAGGAAUGUGACUUUGCUUCGGUGAAGUGUUAUAGCCUGCGUUGAUGCUGCCUGCCUAGACCGAGGACUGCGAUUUUAUCAAGGAUGCUGGCAUAAUGAUCCCAAACCGCCCG